UAGGGAAUAUUGCAAAAUGGGCGAAAGCCCGAUGCAGCAACGCCGCGUGGGCGAUGAAGGCCUUCGGGUCGUAAAGCCCUUUUUGAGGGGAUGAGGAAGGACAGUACCCUCAGAAUAAGCCUCGGCUAACUACGUGCCAGCAGCCGCGGUAAAACGUAGGAGGCGAGCGUUAUCCGGAUUUACUGGGCGUAAAGCGCGUGCGGGCGGAUUGGAGAGUUGGAUGUGAAAGCUCCCGGCUUAACUGGGAGAGGUCGUUCAAUACUUCCAGUCUUGAGUGCAGUAGAGGGAAGUAGAAUUCCGGGUGUAGUGGUGAAAUGCGUAGAUAUCCGGAGGAACACCAGUGGCGAAAGCGGCUUCCUGGACUGUAACUGACGCUCAGACGCGAAAGCUAGGGUAGCAAACG
rnacentral:rRNA from 1 species